GACCAAAAUUGCCUUCACUUUAUCAUCGGCAGUUAAAAUCUUAAAUGCUUCCACCACCUGGACUUCUGAUGCAGCACCACCAAUGUCUAGAAAAUUGGCAGGUGUACCACCAUGCAAUUUUAUUAUAUCCAUUGUGGCCAUUGCUAGUCCUGCACCAUUAACCAUACAUCCAAUUUCUCCAUCCAACCCAAUAUAAUUCAGAUCUGCCUUGGCAGCAGCAACCUCUCUAGGGUCCUCUUGGGACGGAUCACGGAGAGAAAAUAUCGCUUUCUGCCGAAAAGCAGCAUUAUCAUCGAAGUUCAACUUUGCAUCAGCCGCUACCAGCUUGUUGUCAGCGGUUUCAGCAAGCGGAUUUAUCUCCAAUAAUGUGCAAUCACAUUCACAGAAAAGUUUGUAAAGCUUCUUUAUUUGAUCAAUCGCAGACUCCCUGUCUGCUGCCUUAAGAGCCAAACCGUCGACGACUUUAGCUGCAUCCUCAUCUGUGAUUCCCUUAAAUACAUCAAUGGGAACCUUAAUGAUCAUGUCAGGAAACUUUUCCGCAAGGUCUUCGAUGCUAGUUCCCCCCUUUCGACAAGCGAUGAUGAUUGGCCCAGCACUUGUUCGGUCAAGGGUGAUGGCAAAAUACAUCUCGUUAACCAGUGACAACUUCUCGCACAAGUACACCUUGGUCACAACUUUCCCUUGCGGCCCAGUUUGCUUAGUGACAAGAAACUGCCCAAGCAUCUUACCAGCAAUAUCUUCAACCUCCUUCGUCUUCACAAUAUGAACCCCACCCUUAAACCCAUUCUUAAAAGUCCCGAGUCCUCUUCCACCCGCCAGAAUCUGGCUCUUAACCACCACCUCCUCUUUUCCAGCGAAUUCAGCUUUGAUAGCCGCCGACACCCCCUGAAUGGUGGAGACGGCGACGCCCUUGGGGACGUUGAUCCCGUAGUUCCCCAUCAAUUCUGCGCCCUGGUACUCAUGGAUGUUGAGGCGGCGGAUCUGCUGGUGUUGCCAGCGACCGGCGGCGGAGAGGGAUCGGGCGACGAGCUUGCCGAGCGUCGCACGAACCAUUUUGGAGUGGCGAAACCCUAGAUCGGC
rnacentral:misc_RNA from 1 species